CUGCACUGCAGUGGAUUGUAUCAUGGUUUUAAUAGUUUUGCAAUUUUCAUUAGUUUUUAUUUUUAUUUAGUUUUGACUUCAGAUUUUCAAUUUUAUAUCAGUUUUAAUUAGUUUUUACCAAUUGUUUGCUAGUUUAGUUUAGUUUUUAGUUUUUUGAAAAUCCUUAGUUUCAGUUUAGUUUUGAUUAGUUUCAGUUAUAGGUUUAGUUGUGUUUGCAAUAAUUAAGUGUAACAAAAUCCCAGUUUCAUCAUAUCAGUCAUGCUCUUCUGCUCAUCCUUGGGUAUGUUGCUAUUCCAGCUACCAUACCCUGCACCCUGCACAGGUCGCCUGUCUGUCGCAGGGCUAACACGCAGAGACAGACAACUCACAUUCCCACCUAUGGGUUCUUUAAAUAAAUAAAUAAAUAAAGGCAGAUGAACAACCAUUGAUACCAGGCAACUAUAAAAUGUAUAUCUUGGCCCCAAUGAGACUAUUAACUCUUGCAGCACCGGGUGUUCAUAAUUUUGGUUCAAGUGAAUUGAUAAACUUUGUGAAGGCAAUUGACUCACACAGUUGUGUAGAUGUCCCCGUCCUGCUGUCUCGGGAUGCAUCACGCUGCCUUGCCUGGGGUUAGCUUCUGUUUUCUGGGGAUGAGGGUUGAGUGUGCUCCCUUACCUUCUCAAGGUAAGCUAGGUUAGCCUUCUUGUGUGAGCUUUUCAAGUGCACUUUAAGGUUUGUGGGAUUUUUUUCCCUUUAGAAAUGUCCCUCAUAAUUUGUCUCUUUCCACUACAAGACACUUGCUUUAUCCAAAACACAGUCAUAUUCAAAGUAAUCCCAAAUUGGACUCUGGCGCUUUCUCCUGACUUUUCCUGACAUGAUUCUGCGCGUGGACGGAGCAGCAACACAGACGACUCGACUAACGUGCUGCCACCUGCUGGCAUAAUGAGACAGCAAGAAAAAAUCUGGAAACUAAACUUCAUUUUCACCCUCGACUAUUGUAGGACACGCACACAUCAACGAAAACUAAACACAUUUUGCUAUAAAUUCAGUUAAUUUUAGUUAGUUUUGUGGACACUCAUUACAGUUUUAGUUAGUUUUCCUUUUUUUGUUUUUAUUUUUAUUUCCGUUAACGAAAAUGUUUUUUCACUUCUAGUUUUCGUUAUUUCGUUCAUUUUCGUUAACGAUAAUAAUCUUGGUUAUUGCUCAAUUAUAAGAUGAUAAAAAAACACUCGGGAGGGUCACCAACAAUUUGCCUACUGUUUGUGUUUGCCAUCCUGAUUAAUGGCAGUGGGUGUUACCUCAAAAUGAGGCUGAAUUACUUCUGCAGUCAAACACCUGGAAGCCUUAGCUUUAACCCCAUGAUAAAAAAAAACAACAAACAAAAAGACCAACUUUCCCUGUCUUUGUACCUCGAGGCCCUCCAGCCAGGCUCCAUUAUUAAUACACUUGUCUGCUAAAUGCUUUAUCCAUUCUUUACCCAACUUAGUUUAAAUCAAAUCCCAAAAUGUCCCCAUCUCCAACCUCAUCUCUCUUGUGCAUUUUCUGUUCUUGCAAAAAGAUCUCAUAAGUACCAAAACACACACGCAAAUGUCGAGCACUCUGUGACGUUAGCGAUGCUAUCUUGAGAUCAAAGUAGCUGGCUGCGUUUUAUAACUCAAGUAGUCCAAU
ensembl:lncRNA